UGCAAACAAGGCACAGUGUACAAUGGCACAACUUGCAUCAAACCAAAAGAGUGUCGCUGCUUAGACGACAAGGGCAAUAUUCGCUUGCCACUGGAAACUUGGGGAAAUGAAGAAUGUGAAGAGUGCAAAUGCCAGUUCAACAGAAUAACGUGCUAUCCAGCUGCUGACUGUCUAACAACAACGCAGCAGACAACUUUUGCUCUUCAAUCUCGUCCUCCUGCAGGUUCUGACAUCAAAACAACAACAAGACAGAGGC